UGGUGGAGUGAUUUGUCUGGUUAAUUCCGUUAACGAACGAGACCUCAGCCUGCUAAAUAGUCAUAUGAAUUUUUCUAAAAAAGCGUCCUUUAUUCUGGGGCUGGGCAACUGGUUUUAGGGUAGAGGCGUGGAUAAAUUCAUAGCAGUACUUCUUAGAGGGACUAUUGGUGCCGAAGCCAAUGGAAGUUUGAGGCAAUAACA
rnacentral:rRNA from 1 species